AACGAACGCUGGCGGCGUGCCUACCACAUGCAAGUCGAACGAGAAUUUUCCCUUCGGGAAAUAGUAAAGUGGCGCAAGGGUGAGUAACACGUGAAUAAUCUGCCUACGAAUUCGGGAUAACGCGGCGAAAGCUGUGCUAAUACCGGAUAAGACCACAUUUCUUAAGAAAUGUGGCCAAAGGAACCUCAAGUUCCGCUUGUAGAUGAGUUCGCGAACCAUUAGCUUGUUGGUGGGAUAACAGCCCACCAAGGCGACGAUGGUUAGCCGGCCUGAGAGGAUGAUCAGCCACACUGGGACUGAGACACGGCCCAGACUCCUACGGGAGGCAGCAGUGGGGAAUUUUCCGCAAUGGGCGAAAGCCUGACGGAGCAACGCCGCGUGAGGGAUG
rnacentral:rRNA from 1 species